GGCGGGUUUCCUGAGCGGCCAAAAGGAUCUGACUGUAAAUCAGACGCGCGAGCUUCGGGGGUUCGAAUCCCUCACCCGCCA
rfam:Actinomyces sp. oral taxon 848 str. F0332 genomic scaffold Scfld0, whole genome shotgun sequence.